GGCUGGUCUAAAGGCAGUUAUUCUCAGCUGAUUGUUCACAGUUAGUCAGAUUGUUCAGUUAAGUUACACAUCAAACUCCUUCUUCAACUCUUUCCUCCUUCUCACUACUACACUUGACUACUCUUUU
ensembl:Y_RNA Y_RNA Y RNA